UGGGGAAUAUUGGGCAAUGGGCGCAAGCCUGACCCAGCAACGCCGCGUGAAGGAAGAAGGCUUUCGGGUUGUAAACUUCUUUUCUUAGGGACGAAGAAAGUGACGGUACCUAAGGAAUAAGCCACGGCUAACUACGUGCCAGCAGCCGCGGUAAUACGUAGGUGGCAAGCGUUAUCCGGAUUUACUGGGUGUAAAGGGCGUGUAGGCGGGACUGCAAGUCAGAUGUGAAAACCAUGGGCUCAACCUGUGGCCUGCAUUUGAAACUGUAGUUCUUGAGUACUGGAGAGGCAGACGGAAUUCCUA
rnacentral:rRNA from 1 species